rnacentral:sRNA from 1 species
AAGUGCCGCCUGUGCUGGGGAAGGGACCAUGUGGCUGCCUUGGGCUCUGUUGCUUCUCUGGGUCCCAGGAUGUUUUGCUCCGAGCGACCGCAGGACCGUGGCGGGCCCUGUGGGGGGAUCCCUGAGAGUGCAGUGUCGCUAUGAGGAGGCACACAGGACCCUCAACAAAUACUGGUGCAGACCACCACAGAUUUUCCUAUGUGACAAGAUUGUGGAGACCAAAGGGUCAGCAAGAAAAAGGAACGGCCGAGUGUCCAUCAGGGACAGUCCUGCAAACCUCAGCUUCACAGUGACCCUGGAGAAUCUCACAGAGGAGGACGCAGGCACCUACUGGUGUGGGGUGGAUACACCGUGGCUCCGAGACUUUCAUGAUCCCGUUGUCGAGGUUGAGGUGUCCGUGUUCCCGGCAUCAACGUCAAUGACACCUGCAAGUAUCACUGCGGCCAAGACCUCAACAAUCACAACUGCAUUUCCACCUGUAUCAUCCACUACCCUGUUUGCAGUGGGUGCCACCCACAGUGCCAGCAUCCAGGAGGAAAAUGAGGAGGUGGUGAACUCACAGCUCCCGCUGCUCCUCUCCCUGCUGGCAUUGUUGCUGCUUCUGUUGGUGGGGGCCUCCCUGCUAGCCUGGAGGAUGUUUCAGAAAUGGAUCAAAGCUGGUGACCAUUCAGAGCUGUCCCAGAACCCCAAGCAGGUAAGGGGGGCUUUAGCAGGAGGUGUAUCAGGUGGCUGGGCGGAGGGUACAGAGGCUGCUGGGGAGUUGGACAGUCCCAUCGGCCAAUGGAGGAUGGAUGGAGCGGGGAGCUCACCCAGAGCAGGACGAAUGAUGCUGGGAGAUGUGGUCACUAGGUCUUGUUCUGAGUCCUGGCCAGCCUGUCCCCUCCCCACCAAGGCAAAUGGAAUGAAGGGAGGCCCUGCCAGCCAAGCUGACCUGGGGAACAUUAAACUACUGGAUGGAGUGGGGUGGAGGCAGGAAGGGGAAGGUGGGGGCUGAGGUGCUCAGAGCAUAGAGGAAGGGGAGACACAUGCAGAGACGCAGGGACAGAGGCUGCAGGGCUCCGUGGACACCCACCUGGGACCUCCUGCCCACCCAGGCUGCCAAGCAGAGUGAGCUGCACUACGCAAAUCUGGAGCUGCUGAUGCGGCCUCUGCAGGAAAAGCCAGCACCACCAAGGGAGGUGGAGGUGGAAUACAGCACUGUGGCCUCCCCCAGGGAAGAACUUCACUAUGCCUCGGUGGUGUUUGAUUCUAACACCAACAGGAUAGCUGCUCAGAGGCCUCGGGAGGAGGAACAAGAUUCAGAUUACAGUGUGAUAAGGAAGACAUAGGCUUUUGUCCUGCCUCGCCAUCGGAGCUCUCAUGGGCUCCAG